UACAGGGGGUGCAAGCGUUGUUCGGAAUUACUGGGCGUAAAGGGUGCGUAGGCGGCGCGGUAAGUCAGAUGUGAAAUCCCGGGGCUCAACCCCGGAACUGCAUCCGAUACUGCCGUGCUAGAGGAUUGGAGAGGUAGCUGGAAUUCUUGGUGUAGCAGUGAAAUGCGUGGAGAUCAAGAGGAACACUCGUGGCGAAAGCGAGCUACUGGACAAUAUCUGACGCUGAGGCUCGAAGGCCAGGGUAGCGAAAGGG
rnacentral:rRNA from 1 species